rnacentral:tRNA from 2 species
GGCGGGAUAGCUCAGUUGGUUAGAGCAGCGGAAUCAUAAUCCGCGUGUCGGGGGUUCAAGUCCCUCUCCCGCUACCA